rnacentral:rRNA from 1 species
AUGGAUACCAAUGCUUUUCAUGAAUUUAGCACUAAGUAUGGAUUUGACUCUGAGAUAGUAGCUUCUUUCUGCGAAUCAUUUACUACUCAUGUUGAUUUCCCUAAGGAGAAGUGGUUUAAAUAUCAUCCUCCCAUUGAAGUGAAAAUAGCAGAACCCAUUAAGGCUGAAGAAGAAAUCGUUGCUUAUAAUGCUGAUCCUGUUAUUCCUACUUCUUAUAUUGAGAGAGCACCUUUUCAUGUUAGGAUAAAGGAACAUGCUAAAGCUUUAGCCGUAGUCCGUAAGAGUUAUACUAGAACACCUACACCCCCUGUACAAAUAAAAGUUUAA